ACAUCACCCCACACACACAUCACCCCACACACACAUCACCCCACACACAAACACAUACACUGUACCCCUCAAUGCAGUGUGUGUACACUCAGCAGUCUGGCCCUGUACCCAGCUACACCAACCCCAGAGAUUUUUGAAAGGAUCAUGGUAGAUGUACAAGAAUACCUCAUAUCCAGAGGGGUCCAACCAAACCAGCAAUCCAGAGGGGAGUCACCGCAUUCACCCAGCAUGAUACAGGGAAAACCAAAAAUUCCUUACCAAGCUUUUAAAAAUUUUACGGACACAGAGGGGGAUCUUGACGGAUAUUUGCAGGACUUUGAAAGACUGUGCCAGCUGCAUGAUAUCAGGCCCCAAGAUCAGGUACCCCUGCAAACCGGUAAAUUAUCUGGCCGCGCAGCGGACGCCUACCGGGCCGUGCCUAAUGAGGACAGCAGAGACUACCAGAAGGUAAAACAAGCCAUCCUAGUCCGGUAUGCCAUUACCCCUGAGGCAUACCGACUCCAAUUCCCGGACCUGAAAAAAACAAGAAAAGGACUCCCACGCUGAGUUUGCACACCGCUUAUAACGAGCAGCCACAGGAUGGAUUGAGGCGGUGCAAGCAACUACACAGAACAAGAUCAUGCAACUACUGCUGUUGGAACAGUUCUACCGGAGAUUAUCUACAGAGAUGCAGAACUGGGUAAGGGACCGUAAACCAUGUACCUUACAAGACGCAGCUAAAUUAGCAAAUGAACAUCAAGACACUAGGCGAGAGCAGCGCCCACCGCCUAAGGUAUUUCCCCAGCCAAUCACCCACCGGCCUGCCUUGGCUGAUCCAGCUCACCAACGAUUGGGGGGAGCCAACAACCAAUACCAACCUAGGUACCCCACCCGGGCACACAUCCGAUGCCACACCUGCAACCAACUAGGGCAUGUACAAAGAGAAUGCCCCCGAAACAGGGCAUGACCAGCAUGGCCCAACCAAGGCCAACCACCUGGCCCUAGGGUUGCAGUACACUGCUACCAGACUGGAGCAUUUAUCCAGCCCUCCACAGCCACCCAGAUAGGCACUCUCCACGAAGUUAAGCCCUCUCAAGCGGCGUCCGACAACCGCCAAAGCCAUCGACUAGUUGUCCACGUAGAAGGGAAACGUAUGGAAGAACUGACAGAUUCCGGGGGCCACCGUCACCUUGGUCCGAAAUCACCUUGUCCCAAAAGACCAACUUACAGGGGAUUGUAUAGCAGUACGAGUUGCAGGGGGAGGAAUCUGCCAAGAUACAUUUGAAUUGGGGAGCGGGGUCAGGGAACGUGGUGGUGGGGAUGAUGCAAGACUUGCCAGCGGAUGUUAUUUGGGGAAAUGACUUGGGGGAGCUCACCCAGUCGUCACCAGGCAGCAGGCUCGCACCACGGCACAAUCCAGUGACUCUGAGGCUCAGGUAAGCAAUGAAACCCAUAAUCACACUGCCCUUCCCUGGGAUGCCCCUCUAGAAUUUGGUAGCGAGGUCGCUCUAGAUCCUUCCCUGCAGGUUUACAAAGACCGAAUAGACAAGAACCAGGCAGGCUUAGAAGGAGAAAGAUAUGCUUGGGAUAAAGUGUUAUUAUACCAGUAUGCAGAGAAGGUAGUAGCCGGGUCUAUUCCCAUCCCCAUAAAACCGUUAAUUGUGCCUCGAAAGUACAGACAGGAGUUGCUGUGUAUAGCACACGACAUACCUUUGUCAGGUCAUUUAGGGAUCAGCCGAACUAAACAUCAGCUGACCCAGAACAACUUCUGGCCAGGUAUCUCCAAGGAUAUUAGACAAUACUGUACUACCUGCGAUACCUGCCAGAGGGUAGGGAAAAGGGGAGACCGCUAUAAAGCCAAACUCUAUCCCUUACCUAUAAUAGAAGAACCUUUUAGUCGAGUAGCGGUAGACAUAAUCGGACCGCUGAAAAAGUCUAGUCCCUUCGGCAAGAAGUACAUCUUGACCGUAGUGGACUACGCCACCAGAUACCCCGAAGCAGUGGCCCUAACGAAUGUACAUGCCGAGACCGUAGCGGAUGCCCUUAUGCGAAUAUUCUCCCGCAUGGGAUUUCCACGGGAGAUUAUUUCGGAUAGGGGUACCCAAUUCACGGCAGAGGUCACCCACCAGCUCUGGAAAGUAUGUGGGGUAACAUCUAUCUUUAAUUAUCCCUACCACCCCCAGGCCAACGGUCUCUGUGAACGGUUCAACGGAACACUUAAACAGAUUAUCCGGACGUUCAUAGACACGCAGAAAGACUGGGAGAGGUUUUACCCCAGUUGCUGUUCGCCUAUAAGGAAGUGCCACAAGAAUCCACCGGGUUCUCGCCCUUUGAAUUAUUGUUUGGGAGGAGAGUGAGGGGACCCCUAGAUUUAAUCCGAGAGCACUGGGAGGGGGGGUUACCACUAAUGGUACCCCUAUUGUACCAUAUGUACUGGAGUUCUGGUAACGCUUGAAGGCUUUAACCCAGAUGGUACGUAAUAACCUCCAGGCGGCCCAACAACGACAGCGCAGAUGGUAUGAUAGGUGGGGCCAGGGACCACAGCUUUCAGGUCGGUCAGAAAGUGCUAAUCCUAUGACCCGACCCUAGUGACAAGCUGCAGGCCUCCUGGCAGGGACCAUUCAAGGUGGUAGAGCAAAUCUGCGAUACCACCUACAUAAUUGGCCCGUGCGCUGGAGCGGGAGGCAGACGCAUGCUCCAUGUGAACAUGCUGAAGCCCUCCCAUGAGCACACAGAAGAGGUGACCGCAAUCUGUGCCUCUGCCGCUGAGGAUGCUGAUAACCUGCCGCUACCAGACCUCCUGGCGAGAGAAGGAAAAAAUGAGGAUCUGGAAGCUGUACAGCUAGGGGAGUGCUUGAGUUCCCAGGACAGAACCCAGGCCCAAAAUGUAAUUAUGGAAAAAGCGGCCACCUUUUCCAAUUUCUUAUUAGCCACCCACAGGGUAGAAACCCCAGGACAAACACCCCUCCGCCAACCUCCUUAUCGCAUCCCGAGUCGGUAAAAGAGAAUAUACAGGGAGUGCAGAAUUAUUAGGCAAGUUGUAUUUUUGAGGAUUAAUUUUAUUAUUGAACAACAACCAUGUUCUCAAUGAACCCAAAAAACUCAUUAAUAUCAAAGCUGAAUAUUUUUGGAAGUAGUUUUUAGUUUGUUUUUAGUUUUAGCUAUGUUAGGGGGAUAUCUGUGUGUGCAGGUGACUAUUACUGUGCAUAAUUAUUAGGCAACUUAACAAAAAACAAAUAUAUACCCAUUUCAAUUAUUUAUUAUUACCA
rnacentral:lncRNA from 1 species